GAUGAAGAACGUAGUGAAAUGCGAUACGUAAUGUGAAUUGCAGAAUUCAGUGAAUCAUCGAAUCUUUGAACGCACAUUGCGCCCGCCAGUAUUCUGGCGGGCAUGCCUGUUCGAGCGUCAUUUCAACCCUCAAGCACAGCUUGGUGUUGGGACUCGCGUUAAUUCGCGUUCCUCAAAUUGAUUGGCGGUCACGUCGAGCUUCCAUAGCGUAGUAGUAAAACCCUCGUUACUGGUAAUCGUCGCGGCCACGCCGUUAAACCCCAACUUCUGAAUGUUGACCUCGGAUCAGGUAGGAAUACCCGCUGAACUUAAGCAUAUCAAUAAGCGGAGGA
rnacentral:misc_RNA from 1 species